UCUCGUUCGAUCACCGAAAUUAAGCAACGUCCAGCCUGGUCAGUACCUAGAUGGGUGACUGCUUGGGAAUACCAGGUGCUGUAA